UCCCCUACGGGGGGCAGCAGUGAGGAAUAUUGGUCAAUGGGAGAGAUCCUGAACCAGCCAAGCCGCGUGAGGGAAGACGGCCCUAUGGGUUGUAAACCUCUUUUGUCGGAGAACAAAACCCGGGACGCGUCCCGGUCUGCGUGUAUCCUAAGAAAAAGCAUCGGCUAACUCCGUGCCAGCAGCCGCGGUAAUACGGAGGAUCCGAGCGUUAUCCGGAUUUAUUGGGUUUAAAGGGUGCGUAGGCGGUCCGUUAAGUCAGCUGUAAAAGUUCGGGGCUCAAC
rnacentral:rRNA from 1 species